rnacentral:tRNA from 1 species
GGUCAGGUGUCCGAGUGGUCGAAGGAGCACGCCUGGAAAGUGUGUAUACGGCAACGUAUCGAGGGUUCGAAUCCCUCCCUGACCG